ACCAUGCAAGCUAGCGAAGGUAACGGAGCGGCAUACGGCUCAGUAGGACAGGGAAAUCUGGCCACUAUGGAGGAUAACCACGGUAACCUGUGGCUAAGACGAGAGUGGGUGAGUCCCUGGCCUAUCAGCUUGACGGUACGGUAAGGGCGUACCGAGGCGACGACGGGUAACGGAGAAUCGGGGUUUGAUUCCGGAGAGGAAGCCUGAGAAAUGGCUACCACGUCCAAGGACGGCAGCAGGCGCGGAAAUUACCCACUUGGAGGACCAGAGGUAGUUAUGAGGCGUGUAAAUGAAGACAGAGUAAAAGCCUGUUUGAAUGCGACUGGAGGGCAAGUCUGGUGCCAGCAGCCGCGGUAAUUCCAGCUCCAGAAGCGUCUGUGUGUGUUGCUGCGGUUAAAACGUGCGUAGUCGGGUUGUUCGCCAGCAGAAAAAGCAUGGACUCAAGCUGUGCAUUGUGCAGGGACGUAGACCUAGGGACCGGAGCGGGGCAACGUUAUUCGACAGCGAGGGGUGAAAACCGAUGACCUGACGAGGAGCAACAGAAGCGUAGGCGGUUGUCCGAGACGGGUCCGACGAUCAAGCGCGUAGGCAGGAGGAUCAAAGACGAUUAGAGACCGUUGUAGUUCCUGCAGUAAACGAUGCCGACGGGGGCGCAUAUUGUGUGCUCCGAGGGAAACCGAGUGUACGGGCUCCGGGGAUAGUACGGGCGCAAGCUUGAAACUUGAAGAAAUUGACGGAAGGACACCACAAGGAGUGGAGUGUGCGGGUUAAUUUGACUCAACGCGGGGCAACUUACCGGGGCAGGCGACGUAGGGUGAAGGACGUUUCUUCGCUGAUCGGACUGAUUACGUCGCGCGUGGUG
rnacentral:rRNA from 1 species